rnacentral:rRNA from 1 species
UGAACGUUGGCGGCGCGUCUAAUACAUGCAAGUCGAGUGGGUUUAGACCCACGGCGGACGGCUGAGUAAUGCGUUGGUAGUUGCCCCCCACUCAGGGAUAACAGUGAGAAAUCACUGCUAAUACCGGAUGGUCCCGCAAGGGUAAAGCUUUUGCGGUGGGGGAGACACCUUCGUCCUAUCAGUUAGUUGGUGAGGUAACGGCUCACCAAGACGAUGACGGGUAGCUGGUCUGAGAGGAUGGCCAGCCAGAGGGAAACUGAGACACGGUUCCCACUCCUACGGGAGGCAGCAGUAAAGAAUCUUCCACAAUGGACGAAAGUCUGAUGGAGCGACGCCGCGUGCAGGAUGAAGGCCUUCGGGUCGUAAACUGCUUUUUUGGGGGAAUAAUUCUGAAUGUACCCCAAGAAUAAGCACCGGCAAAUCACGUGCCAGCAGCCGCGGUAAUACGUGAGGUGCAAACGUUACCCGGAAUUAUUGGGCGUAAAGCGUCCGCAGGCGGCGCAGAAAGUUGGAAAUUAAAUCUUGAGGCUCAACUUCAAGACUGUGUCCAAAACUUCUGUGCUAGAGACUAGGAGAGGUGAGUGGAAUUCUGCAUGUAGGGGUAAAAUCCGUAGAUAUGCAGAGGAACACCAAAAGCGAAGGCAGCUCACUGGCCUAUGUCUGACGCUCAUGGACGAAAGCGUGGGUAGCAAACGGGAUUAGAUACCCCGGUAGUCCACGCUGUAAACGAUGAUCACUCGGUGUCGGGAGUUCGACCCUCUCGGUGCCUAAGCUAACGCGAUAAGUGAUCCGCC